GUUAUUUUGGCAGAGUAGUGUAUUGGAUUUAGAUUCCAAGUAAGUAAGUUUUACAAAUAACA
rnacentral:tRNA from 1 species